AAAGUCGUAACAAGGUCUCCGUUGGUGAACCAGCGGAGGGAUCAUUACAGAGUCUAACUCUCUAAACACCCUGUGAACAUACCACUGUUGCUUCGGCGGACCGCUCGCGGGCCGCCGGAGGCCUCAAACGCUGUCUUACAGAGAAGUCUGAGUGGCGAAAGCACAGAAUGAAUCACAACUUUCAGCAAUGGAUCUCUUGGUUCUG
rnacentral:misc_RNA from 1 species